CUGGAGGUAGCAGAAAUGAAGAUGCUGAGGUUCUUGUUUGGUGUGAGCAGGUUGGAUAGGAUUAGAAAUGAGCUCAUGAGAGGGACAGACAAAGUUGGAUGUUUUGGAGACAAGGUGAGAGAGAGCAGACUGGUUUGGAGAGUGAGCAUAUUGGUAGAAGGGUGCUGAGGAUGAAGCUGCCAGGCAAAAGAGUGAGAGGAAGACCAAAGAAACGGUUGAUGGAUGUUGUGAGGGAGGACAUGAGGACAGUGGGUGUUGGAGAAGAGGAUGCACGAGAUAGGCUUAGAUGGAAAAAGAUGACACGCUGUGGCGACCCCUAACGGGACAAGCCGAAAGGAAAAGAAGAAGACAAAGCUAACACUCGAAGCUCUCAAAUGAAGGGGAAAAAAAUCUGAUGAGAUGUCAUCCACAGAUCCUCACGGCGCAGCGGCGGCGUCGCACGGGAUCAUGUCUGAUGCCGCGGGAUGGAGCAGAUGGGUGCAGGUGCUUGAUCAAAUAUGAAUAAACCAAGCGCGACGGAACGAAGCCGCAUCGAGGACCCCGAGCGUCCGCGCGAGUCACGCCACGGCCUCUCCGCUCGGCAUCUCAACUGGUGUCCACUCGCCUGCAAAGAUGUACAAAUGGAAGGAAUGACUUGAGCCUCCUGAAGCAUGCAAGAACCCCCGACCACCUCCCACCCCCAACCCCCCCCCCCCCCCCCCUUCCCUGCAGAGUCUAUCCUCUCACUGUCCAUGUCAGGCUUUGCUUCUUCCUUUCUCUGAGACUGAGAAAGGUGUUACACGCGAUUGUUUUUUUUUUUUUUUUUCCUUUUGGUCGCCCCCUUUUAUCCCCCGACGGUGACGGAGCAGGAAGGGGGAGGAGUUUGUUAGUCGGUCACCACAGCCGCCACACGCACAAUAAACACGCACAAUGGAGCGCACAAACACGGCGACGUGGAGUGGAGCAAGCGAGAGACGGAAAAGCGAGAGAAAGAGAGGAAGACGGGGGGAAUGG